GUCACUCUUGUUUUUAUUAGUUUUUUAUUUUAGCUGCUAUACAUCAUUAUUUUAAUUAGAGUUUUUACUACUAGUAUUCACUUUAAUGAACUGGAUGUCAUUCUUAAUUGAAGAAAAGCAGUUUAGUAUCAUCUGAAAUUUGAUGGAGCCUUUGUAAAGUUCAUUUUUAUCCAAGGAUAGAUCUUAAAAGUGCUUCAACCUCAUAAAUUUGGAGCCAAAGUCAUGUCAGUUUAACUUGAAUGCUCAGUGACCCAAGAAGAAGCUUACUAACAGCUUUAUUAGGCAAAGGAAUAUUGCUGAGUCUAGUAAAAUUCUCACUGUCCAAUCAAGUCUUCAGCAACUGAGUUCAUUCUCAUUCUCUUCAACUUCACAGCAGAAAGAAUAACCUUGAGAUGCAGGUCUCCCGGGGACUCAGCCUGCUGGAUUCAGAGCCCAGCACCGCUAUGAAAUUAGCACCGUAUUUCCAUCUUCUGCAGAGGAAUUCGUGAGUGGUCGGAACUCCCACUCCGUAUCACAGAUGAGAGAUCCUGGCCAGACUCAGAAGUCUUCUCCUCCCAGGCCUCGUUCUCCUGAGAGGCCGAGCUGGAAGCAGAUUCCUGGCCCUAAGGCCAGCACUCUUGCCUCUGUGGUGCAGGACACCCGAGUGACAAAUCCCAUUUGCCUAAUGAGGAAACAGCGUCAUCUAGUGGCGAUUUAUCCUUUUUCUAGGAAAUGCUUUUUUAUGAGGGGCAUGCUUAACUGGAAUCCCUGGCACGAUGGCUUCAGAAAGACUGGAAGUGACCUGGAGACAGAAGCACCACUGAUGACAAAAGGUGAGUAUGUUGGGCAAUGUUGGACAGAGAUCUGGGCUAGGAAGAUCAGAUGCACCUCAGGAGGAGGCCGGUCUCACCUUGAAACUCGAGAAGAACUCCAGGGGUCGUGCCACCAUUCGAAAAGACCCCGAUGUCCCCGUCCACUCGAGAUAAGGCCUCAUCCCCCAGAGACUGAAUAG
ensembl:lncRNA